rnacentral:tRNA from 1 species
GGGCCCGUAGCUCAGUGGUUAGAGCAGGAGGCUCAAGACUUCUUGGUCGUUGGUUCAAUCCCAACCGGGCCCACCA